GCAGUCGGCCGGUCUGUUGCUCGCAUUCCGAUGCGGGAGGAAAGUCCGGGCAACACAGAGCAUCCCACUUCCUAACAGAAAGCUGUCCGCGAGGGUAGAGUAACGCAGAAGAAAAGAACCGCCGCUGCGCCUUUGGGUUCCAGCGGUAAGGGUGAGAAGGUGGGGUAAGAGCCCACCGGCCUUGUGGCGACACAAGGGCCGUGCGUCUUGGGAGUUGUAAGGUCAUGUAAACCGGCGUAAAGAGAGUUGCUCGCUCCAUGUCGGAGGGUAGACCGCUAAAGCCGUAUGGCGACAUACGGACGAGAUAAAUGACAGACACCCCACUCCGGUGGGGCACAGAACCCGGCUUACAGGCCGACUGCUUUC
rnacentral:RNase_P_RNA from 1 species